rnacentral:rRNA from 1 species
UGGGGAAUCUUGCGCAAUGGGCGAAAGCCUGACGCAGCGACGCCGCGUGAGCGAUGAAGGCCUUCGGGUUGUAAAGCUCUGUGGGGAGAGAAGAAUAAGGGUUGGCUAACAUCCAACCUGAUGACGGUAUCUCCUUAGCAAGCACCGGCUAACUCUGUGCCAGCAGCCGCGGUAAGACAGAGGGUGCAAACGUUGUUCGGAAUCACUGGGCGUAAAGCGCAUGUAGGCGGUUUGGAAAGUCGGAUGUGAAAUCCCACGGCUCAACCAUGGAAGUGCAUUCGAAACUGCCAGACUAGAGUCCUGGAGAGGAAGGCGGAAUACUGGGUGUAGAGGUGAAAUUCGUAGAUAUCCAGUGGAACACCGGUGGCGAAGGCGGCCUUCUGGACAGUGACUGACGCUGAA